rnacentral:lncRNA from 12 species
AUGUGCACCGUCCAUCCCGGUGCACGGCGGGCGGGGCGCUCCCCCCACAGCAGGCGGUGGCGAGGGCCCGGGACACCCGGCGUCUGGGCUCGACGCCUCAACGCGGCCUCCGUCCGAGAGGGCGGUCGGCGACCACACACCGGGCGACGCCCCGACGCACGUGCGGCGAGCGUGCGCUCACGUGCCGGGCUCCGACUUCCGGGUCACGGCCCGACGUCAGGUCACGUGCUCUUCCCGACUUCCGCUGGCGACCGUGUAGAGACGCAAGGGCCGGCCUGGGCCCCGGGGCGGAGCCCCCCCCCGUCAGCCUGCUCUCUUCCUCGUUUGCGGCCGCGCGGCGACGGGAGCGGAAGGCCGAGGCCGGCGGCCGAAGAGCCCCCUGAGGCAGGCGCACCCCGUCAGCUCCACCGGGUCGCGGGGAGCAGGUCGCGGGUCGCGGGUCCCUCUGCCGCGCGGGGGUCACGUCUUGCCCGUAACAAGUGUUUGCACACAGGCUCAGAGAAAGUUCAGAGCGCACAUCACAAGUACCUCUGAUACAGGUGAUCGCUACACUGAAUUUUGUGUUUAUCGAAUCCUUUUAAGAAUAGCGUCAUCACAACAAAACAUGUUACUUAGAUUUGGUUGCUCCUGAGUUUUACAAAAACG